CCCCGUCUUAUUCUUAGUUUUGUAUAUUUCCCGGGGGGAGGACUGUUCAUUCCCGAACUAAAAUCCAAGAUGGCUGUCCAAACUAAUCCAAUUUGUUAUCGAAAGUACAUUUCUAAAAGCGUUGUUCUGGAUUAAAAUUAUGAAUUUCGCUCCUUAUUUUUAGCUUUUGGCCUUCCUAAUGGUCUGGGAUGGCUGAAGCGAGUCAAAAGAGUCCUGAGCAGGAAAAUAAACGGAAUUCUUUAGAAGUAAAUAGUCGACUUCCUGCAGACUGCUUGCAAGGACACGAGCCAGGAGCCAGAGGAUGGUACGGUAUUGUACAAAUGUUUGCAGUUUUAGUUUUUAGAAAUAUUUCAAUGCAAAUCAAAAACAUCUGCACGCUUUAUAG